rnacentral:rRNA from 1 species
UACGUAGGGUCCGAGCGUUGUCCGGAAUUAUUGGGCGUAAAGGGCUCGUAGGCGGUUCAUCACGUCGGGAGUGAAAGCUCGGGGCUUAACCCCGAGCCUGCUUCCGAUACGGGCAGACUAGAGGUAGGCAUGGGAGAGCGGAACUCCUGGUGUAGCGGUGGAAUGCGCAGAUAUCAGGAAGAACACCGGUGGCGAAGGCGGCUCUCUGGGCCUUACCUGACGCUGAGGCGCGAAAGCGUGGGGAGCAAACAGG